GACGAACGCUGGCGGCGUGCCUAACACAUGCAGGUCGUGCGAGAAAGCCCCUUCGGGGGUGAGUACAGCGGCGGACGGGUGAGUAACACGUGAGCGACCUACCCGACAGUGGGGGAUAACUCAGGGAAACCUGUGCUAAUACCGCAUGCGGCACCGGCUUGGAAGCCGAGUGCGAAAGCGGGCCUCUCGAAGAAGCUCGUGCUGUCGGAUGGGCUCGCGGCCUAUCAGCUCGUUGGUGGGGUAACGGCCUACCAAGGCGAUGACGGGUAGCUGGCGUGAGAGCGCGACCAGUCACACUGGGACUGAGACACGGCCCAGACUCCUACGGGAGGCAGCAGUGGGGAAUAUUGCGCAAUGGGCGAAAGCCUGACGCAGCGACGCCGCGUGGGGGAGGAAGGCCCCAGGGUUGUAAACCCCUGUCAGGUGGGACGAACCCCGGAUCGAGUAAUACACGGUCCGGCUGACGGUACCACCAGAGGAAGCUCCGGCUAACUCCGUGCCAGCAGCCGCGGUAAUACGGAGGGAGCAAGCGUUGUUCGGAAUUACUGGGCGUAAAGGGCGCGUAGGCGGCCGAGUAAGUCGGGUGUGAAAUUCCGGGGCUCAACCCCGCGAACUG
rnacentral:rRNA from 1 species